UGGNGCUAAUCUGACUUAUGUCAUAGCCACA
rnacentral:piRNA from 1 species